UUGUCUUUGUGUCCUCAGCUAUUGUGGUGACACAGUCUGCCAAGGUCAUGGACCUCAAGCUGGCCAUCAAGAGACACUUCACGCUGCGACAGAUGCGCACAGGGGGCAGCACCCGAAUCAGCUGGAGCCACAUCUGGAAACGUCACUGGCUCAGCUACAACGGUGAGAAAAUGACGGACGACAACCGCAAACUGAAGAGUUACGGCGUCCGUAACCGUGAGUUUGUCACGUUCGUCAAGAGACUACGGGACAAGUGAGUGCCGACACGUGUCCGCCCUCUGUGUGGCUGGAUUCUGGACAAGAUGGGAGGCGAAUUGUUUCGCACGGCUGUCUAAAUCACUCCAAAACUGUCGCUUUAGAGUUUCCGGCAAGUGCUUCCCACCAACCACCCCGAGGUGGUAAUAAAACACCUGUAGGCUGUGCAAGGUACCGGUAGCGUGGCGGCAGAACAUGUCAUCGCCUUAGAAUUACUCUAUGCCAUCUCUGCAUUUCUUUGUUUUUAGAAAAUUGUAAAGUUUUGGGGUAUGUUUUCUUUCUGUUUGUUUAUCAGCAGAUUUUCAUACUACUGAGCAACCUGGGUUGGUUUAUAGAGUGAGACAUAAUUCUAGCUGAAGGCGUAGAUUUCUUGGGGGGUUUUGCAGCCCAGCUCUAUCCUCGUCCAUUUAUCAACAAAGUUCUACUCGUACUUGAUGGAUCCAUCUGGGCUGUACUGGAGCGCACAGAUGUUUGUCAUGUUUGCAUUCUUGCUAGAGUUUAAUGACUUCACUGCUCCCUCUCCAUAGUUCGUAAAGUUCAAGAAGAAGUCAUGCCUCAAAUGCUGGACAUCAUAAGGCUUGGGGUUGCUUCUUGCCGCCUGAAUCAGUUGGACAUAGUCCAGUGGACAGAAAAUGCCCAUAUCCUUUAGUCGAAGCUCCACUGUCGCGUGAACGGAGUCGACUUCCUUAUGUGUUGUCUACGCUCAAGAAUUUUCUGUUUGACUGUCUUAUUGUUCUUUACACUGAAGUACUGCAAGGCUGUGCCCAGCAUCUUGUUUCGAUUCUGGUAUGUGCCUCCGUCGGAGUCCUUCAAGGUAGGAAAGAAGAAAGGAUGCAAACUCGUUGGCUGAAAGUCCACUCUCGGCUUCAUUCCAGGCAUAGCAUGUGACAUCUUUAGAACAAAGGUCAUACACUGUAUAACUGUGCACUGCGCGUACACACACACACACACAGUCCCCUCUAUCUCUCCCCUCUCCCUCCUCUCUCUCAGACACAUGGUUAGGACAGACUCCCAUAGAGCUGAUAGAGAGGGCCCAGGCCGCCAGGGUUUCUCUCUUACACAUUGUACGAAAUGACCGCCGUGAGCAUGCAUGUGGCAGUUGGGUCGCGACGCUAUUGCAUGUGGCAAGCCUCACGGACGGGAGAGAGCUGAGGUUACGAGAGACACCCGCAUAUCCAAUGUAAGCAAUACGGACAGGCUAGCAGCAUGGAUACAUUUUGUAGUUUUAACCGACCCAGUCAAUGUUUAGAUC